AAUUCAGACAAACUCCGAAUGCCAAUUAAUUUAACUUGGGAGUCAGAACAUGGGUGAUAAGGUCCGUGUUCGAAAGGGAAACAGCCCAGACCACCAGCUAAGGUCCCAAAAUAUAUGUUAAGUGGAAAAGGAUGUGGCGUUGCCCAGACAACUAGGAUGUUGGCUUAGAAGCAGCCAUCAUUUAAAGAGUGCGUAAUAGCUCACUAGUCGAGUGACACUGCGCCGAAAAUGUACCGGGGCUAAACAUAUUACCGAAGCUGUGGAUUGUCCUUUGGACAAUGGUAGGAGAGCGUUCUAAGGGCGUUGAAGCAUGAUCGUAAGGACAUGUGGAGCGCUUAGAAGUGAGAAUGCCGGUGUGAGUAGCGAAAGACGGGUGAGAAUCCCGUCCACCGAUUG
rnacentral:rRNA from 1 species